CGUGGGCCAGGGAGAAGAUUCUGAGCUGUUGUGAAGGAGAAAGGGGACAGAGAUGUUCCCUAUAGACUGAUGACUUUAGAGGGAUGUCUCUCCUGGCCCUUGAAUCAGAGGCGGGCCUCCUAAAAUAAACAAACAGAAGCUGAACAGAUGAAGGCUCUGAACUGCCACCCACAAGAGGCAACAGAGCCACAAGCAAACACGUGGGAAGAGAACAAUCUUGUAGCCUGAGAAAAAUAGUGUUCUGUGCAGCAAAGGGGAGCGGCCACACUUUCGGGAGCCUGUGGGCCCCUAAAGUGUAAUGUGGGGGUGUCUCAGUUUCUCCUCCUGUGAUAAGACACCAAGGAGAACAACUGAAGGGACUCAGAGAUCAGGUUCUUCCCUGAUCAUGGAAACAAAAUUGAGCAACAGCUGCGGAAAGACCGGAAUCCAGCUGUGAGAGACCUUUCACCAGCGCCCGCUCUGCCAAGGGUGGGCGCACCCCGCUCACUUAUUCGGCACCGAUCCCCGUGUUGGGGAAGUGAGUCCCAGAGCUGGGCUCUACAAGUGGCUGCUGUUAUCCAAGCCCCUGCAGAAGCUGCUGCUGAGAAAGGGAGACGAGGUCCCUGUCACACCCAAAGAGCUGACUUCUUAACUGACCACAGCGCAGGACGGCCUUUACCUCGCUGUCCUUCCCGCCUUCUGCCAGGGAGCUAAGAUUAUGCGCACUCACCACCAUGCCUGGCUUGGCACUCUUGAUCCCCUCAGCACAGACUCACGGAGGCCAGUGUCCGCAGCAGACACUGGCUGCCAGAGGGUGCUCUACCGAUGUGGAGCAGAAGGGCCCAGGAGGCAGGUCACCACUGCAGAGCACGCAGAGGCCUUCGGAUGAAGGACAGCCAGGAGGCAGGACCUGAACCACAGCUACCGCCUUAUCGCAGGACGAGAGUGAGGUGGCGGCGUAAGCCAAAAAUUCAGUACUUACACAAACACCUGGGCCAACCCAGACAUCCGCGGGGCAGAUGCCAGCGCAGGGCGGUCUGUGCACUGUGCUAUUUGCUGGCGUGCCAACACGGGGCCAGGGGUACCAUUCACGGAGGGAAG